CAUUUCACAAGAACAUAUAUGGCUAUAAUAUAUCCUUUUUUUAAUUUCCAAUUAUUAAGGCCUAUAGGCACAUAGUUAUCUUCGGUAAAGUUAAAGCGACCUAGGCCUAGGCCUACUGAUACUGUACUACUACUAAUACUAGGGCUAGGCCCUAGGACUGGGCAUAGGCCUAGGGCCUGGCCGUAGGCAGGCUAGUUGAAGAUUGAAAGUAAGUAGGCAAGGCCUAGGACUUGCCAGGUUUAGGCCUGAUAGUGUACCAAGUUAGCUUAGCUAGGCUACUGCAAUGAAGAGCAGACAUUCAAGACCUGGCCAUCAACAUUUGGGAGCGAUACUUUGAUUACGAAAUAUAAAUGAAACGAUUUAUCCUCUCCUCUGCAUUUUGACACCUUUUCUAAAAGAAUCUGUUUUCCAACAAAAAACAAAACACGAAACUAAAAAAAAAAAAAAAAAUAAUGAUGUACGAAAAUGUGUAUAAAAAAAAAAAAAAGUACAUCAUUAAUCGAUUCCUUGCCUUGGCCUCAAACCUACAGGGGUAUAGACUGACACCAAACUCACCAUCAUAUCAUUUAUGAUUAGGAUAAAAAAGUUAUAUUAUUUUGAAUUAUUUCACAUCUGUUAACUUGUGAAUUUCUUUUUCCUGCACUCUCUCAAUUUCGUUUAUUGGCAUGCCCUGUUCCGGUUUUGGACCAAUUUAAAAAAAUAAAGGUGUCAAAAUACUGAAGACAAUACUUUUUCAUUAAGAUAAUUAUGUACAUUUGAUAUAAUUCACCCAUUUAUAGCCCACAAAUAAUAACUAGAGUUGCAAUCCCAUAAACCGAAUUCGAAAGAAACAUUUUCUACAUUGUUGCAAUGUUAGAGAAGUGAAGUGAAAAUACCUAAUAAAUUGAGCUUUUUCAGGAACUUAAUAUCUUUCAGUUGUCACCUUUUGGAUUUUAAAGACUAAAAUUAUAAGAUAUCUUCCAGUUUUCACUUUUUUUAUUUUAAAGACUAAAAUUUUAAGAUAAGGGAAGCAAAAUUACACUUUCAUUCAAAAUUUCCACAACUUUUUGUAUGUAAAAAUGAAAUCUGAACACUGUUUUAACAUAAUAAAUAUCCAUAGAUGUAUGUCAGUUAUUACAGAUAAUUAUGGAAACUGUUAGUGAUUCAUGUUUUCGAAUUUUGAUGAAAGAAAAACGUUUGGGAAAACUGGAUGAGCUUGGUUUGGUCCAUGAAGCAGAUCUUGCACUAGUUACGGAAGGAUGACAUUCUAAAGGCCAUAGAUGUGCACAAGUGUAGUACACAUUUUAUGAAAGCAAAAUGUGAACAAAAAACACUCCAGAAACUUUAUUCCCAUUUCAAGCCUAGGAGAUUUAUCCAGUCCAGAGCGAAACUCAAGUCAAGAAGAGUACCUUGAUCUUCUAUCACAGAAGACAUUUUUUGCCAACACUCCCAGAGCAAGGGAGUCACUUGGACACAGAAGCAUUUCAGUCUAUGAUAGUGGAAACAAUCCUGAUGAUGUCUACUGGAACAAGGUAGCUAAUCAAGUUAAAAAGUAUUUUCAGAAAGGGGAAUGACAACUACCUUCGUCAGAAAGAAUUAGCUGGUCCGAUAUUGUU